AGGGAAUAAAUGGUUUCUUUACAAUGAUAUUUGUCCACGCAAAUAACAAGACUAAAGUUGUGUGAGCAUAUCACGCUUUGUGCGUGCUUAUUACAUAUGAUGGGUAAAUCAUGUCGCGUCAAUUUAGAUAGUCAUCAUGUAGAUCGUGUCGUCGGAGUCCAUUGAAUCAGGGAGGUCUGGCCGCUGCCAGAGAAAACGUGAGUACAUCCAUAUGCGUGGAGCAGAAGCGCCGCCGGCUGGCGUAACCCAUCUCACGAGCAAUCGAUCAAAAUGAGCUGUACAUCAUACAUGCAUGAUAUGCAAAUUAAUGAUUAGUAUAUAAGUAAUAGGGAGUGCAGGUAAUCUCAUCAUGGAUGCAUGCAAAUGAAUUAGCCGAAGGUCAUAUGUACCUUGCCGUGAUCGAUGUCGAUUGGAAGAAGAUACAAGGGAG
rnacentral:lncRNA from 1 species